GGGGGGGGGGCGUGUAAAAAAAAAAGAUUUAGCAUUUAUAAUGUACACGUGUAUAAUCCAUGCAUGUUGCAAUGUUGCAGACUUCUGUCCCGUUUGGUUGUCGCAGACCGAGCCAGAAUGGAUAAAGCAAUGCAGUACAGAAGACUACACAGUUCCAACUACAAAUACAAGGAUAACUGGAUACACCUGCAAAAAGAUAGUCAGCUUGGCAUUGUUCAACUGCAAAGGAUUCUUCAGAGUCUGAUCCAUGGAGCUGGUUGAAGGGAAUGCCAUCAAAGGCAUACUUUGCUCGUAGGCUGUGGUGACAGUAAAGUGAUGGCAGACAGCCAUUAUAGUCUCCUUUAUUCUGACCCAGGAAUCUACUACUAAUUAUGUUUAUGGGAACAAGUCCAAGUACUUACAUUAAAAUAAAGAUUUAAUAUCAACACAUAGUCUUGGACGAUAGAUUACCCGAUCUAGUGUCAUUGCAGAUUCUAGGGUCACAUUAUAUCCAGUUAAUAAAAAAUUUAUUGUUUUGAUUAACUUAGAAUGGCAAAUAGAAUACAUGCCAUAACUAAAAAGAUGAGGGAUCUUUUCAGAGCUAAAAUAACUGGCUGCAAAGAACUGUCAUAAUAAAAUAAGGAAAAGGAACAAUAGAAUAUGUAGUUAUGAGCAAAAGACAUCCCUUAACAAUAAAAUUUUCUGAAUUACACUUUUUUUUUUUGUUUCACAGGUUAACUAUACAUAACAUAAAGUUGAAACAUGCUUAAGUAAAAGAAAUUUAAUAAUUUUCAAACAGGAGUUAGAGGGAGAAAAAAAAAUGUGGCUAUGAUUGUGUGUGUAAGUGCAUGUACACUUAAUGUAUGUAGAUAUUAUAAUAAAUAGAAAAUGUUUUAUUUUUACGGAAUUUCCAGAGGAAACUUUUUCAAUGACAUUUUAGUAUACUUUGUCUACUGUUAAAGUAAGCAAAUAUGCCAUGAAAAUAAAAAAAUAACCCUUCCUGUUUAUUAUAAAAUUAAA